GGGGAAAUAGCUCAUUGGCAGAGCAUCUGAUUUGCAUGGGGAGGGUCCCAGGUUCAAGUCCAGGUGUCUCUA